rnacentral:lncRNA from 1 species
AAGAUGAGGUAGAAAAAAAUUUGAUGAGAAAAUAGAAAGGGAAAGGGAGAGAAAAAUAGUAAGGAAGAGAGGAGAAAAAAUAAAAAGCAUAAGAUGCUUGUCCAAAAAUCAGAUUGUUCAUAUGUUGAACAUAAAAUCUGAUUUGUGUGUGGUGAGAUAUUUUGAAAAAAAAUUUCUAAAGAGGUCUUAGUGGAGGUUAUAAAGGUGUACAAGUAUUGGUACAAUCCGUUCUUACAUAGGACAAUCGGCAGUGCACUUGUGAAGAAGGCUGCAGCACUAUGACA